UAGAAAGCGGCAAAACAACAACGACGUGUGUAUUAUUUACAACAUACCUCCAGCAAUAUUAGGUGCCUGUGUGCAGUAUUGGUUAUCCCACAUGGAGGCAACCAAUUCUCUAAGCUGAUGUGUCUAACUUCUCAGUAUUCACAAGUGGCGGAGCUGUGCAAACAUGUCCUUGGAGGGUUCAACAUUGACUGAUACAGGGGGUUAUCCCACAUGGAGCCAACCAAUUCUCUAAGCUGAUGUGUCUAACUUCUCAGUAUUCACAAGUGGCGGAGCUGUGCAAACAUGUCCUUGGAGGGUUCAACAUUGACUGAUACAGGGGAAGAGAAGCUGCACUCAGCACAGACAAGCCUCUCUGAGACGCACACACCCCGAGGCACCUCGCUGUCCAGAUCCCCGUUCAGCCCUUUAGGACAGUUUGGAGUCGUGGUCGAGUGGUAGGCAGAUGCGGUAUUCCACAGCUCGGCGGUCUUUCCCAGGUGCAGCAGUCUGUGUGCCAGAAAGCGGCAGAUGGUCGUGAAUUUUUCCCAAGCUUUGCCCGGUUUAGCACUGGCUGCCAUCGUUGGCCUGGGCCUUCAUACCCGAGGGGGUUAGCACGCCAGCACAGCGCUAUGAACCCAGGAACCUCUCACCAAUGUCGUUGCUCAGAUUGACAACUACAUUUUUUCUGAAGUGGUGGAACAGUUUACACUGUCGUCAUUGUCUUCAUGUUAACAGCAGGAAGAUUCAUUUGGGCUCCAUACAACAUGGAACUUCAAGCAAAAUGCAGGCCAACAUUCCAAGACCUCAUACAGAAAUGCGUCCUACACCUUUCACAGACAUAAAUGCACUGUGCAGUGAUGCUCGAAUGACCAUGCUCUGGAACGUCUAAAUAUGGAGAAGAGUAUCCCUGUGGCUUCUUUGUUUCAAUAUAAAUUUAUUUUAAAUAUUCAGGAAAGUACACAUUGUUAGCAUGGUGCAAAGUCAGCAUAUUUUGCAUUAUUACGAUCAUGUUUGUUGGUUCCUUCAUUGAGAAGGAAGAGUGCAAGUAUCUUUCCAAAACAUUAAUAAAUUGUAGAACAAUAUUUUUGUAAUAAUCAGCUCAUUACAUAUCAGUCUCGCUGAUAGUAUGAGUACCAUAAUGCAGAAAUUGCAAAGCUCUUGCACACUUGUUAAAGUGCAGGGAGAAAGUGAUAAUAUUUAAUUUGUGUAAUUCAUAUUACACAUAGGUGAACGACUUAAAAUUUUACCCAAAAGCUCAUUUUUAGAGGCAAAUAAACGUUGUCAGAUAUUAUUUUUGGUGUGAUAACUUACUUAUUCCUUUAGGAUAUCGUCCUACCUUCCAAACAAACCGCCAAGCACCCUUCUAACAUUAAUAUAACUCUCGGAAACAACACAAUGUACAACUUUUGUGAUGGUCCAAAUUUUAGGUCAUACACCGUAAAUUUCAAAAGUACUUUAACUGCCUUAUCGGUGUUCAAAUGUUCAAAUAAUAUUUCUUUGUCCAUGUUCAUUUGUAAUAUUUUUGGGUUAAAUAAGUAUAAAUAAAUGGUUG